GCCUGGGAGUCCCCCGUGGUGGGGGAGCCGGGCUGUUACCCUGGUCGUGGACGGUUCGACUCCGUCCCCAGGCG
rnacentral:tRNA from 2 species